rnacentral:lncRNA from 1 species
UAGGAGUAUAAAAUAGAUCUAUAAAGGUAUAAAGCUAAAACUACCCAAACAAUGUUUCAUUGUACUUGCUAACAGCAUAGCUGAUUGGGCUACUCUUAAAACGUUCUGUUUUACCCAUAAAAUUAUAGUACAUUUGAUUGUUCAGUCUCGUUGUCCUCUUCCUGACUUCACAGAUUUUCUUGGGUAAUAAACUGUGUAAUUUAUGGUUAGGCUUCGACAUUUCUUUGAUUAAUUCAAUGCACAUUCGAUCGCGUCGUUUCUCCAAAC